rnacentral:rRNA from 1 species
GAUGAACGCUGGCGGCGUGCCUAAUACAUGCAAGUCGAGCGAACAGACGAGGAGCUUGCUCCUCUGACGUUAGCGGCGGACGGGUGAGUAACACGUGGAUAACCUACCUAUAAGACUGGGAUAACUUCGGGAAACCGGAGCUAAUACCGGAUAAUAUAUUGAACCGCAUGGUUCAAUAGUUAAAGACGGUUUUGCUGUCACUUAUAGAUGGAUCCGCGCCGCAUUAGCUAGUUGGUAAGGUAACGGCUUACCAAGGCAACGAUGCGUAGCCGACCUGAGAGGGUGAUCGGCCACACUGGAACUGAGACACGGUCCAGACUCCUACGGGAGGCAGCAGUAGGGAAUCUUCCGCAAUGGGCGAAAGCCUGACGGAGCAACGCCGCGUGAGUGAUGAAGGUCUUCGGAUCGUAAAACUCUGUUAUUAGGGAAGAACAAAUGUGUAAGUAACUACGCACGUCUUGACGGUACCUAAUCAGAAAGCCACGGCUAACUACGUG